rnacentral:lncRNA from 1 species
AUUUGGUGGGCCUUGGGGCACCUGUAGGUGGCCAGGGGCAGAUACAGGGGGUCCUGGGGCAGAUUAAGGUGGUUAGGAGGAGAUUUGAGGGGCCCUGGGGCAGAUUUGAGAGGUUCUGGGCCAGAUUUGAGGGCCCUGAAGCAGAUUUGAGGAGCUCUGAGGCAGAUUUGGGAGGUCCUGAGGUAAAUUUAAGGGAUUAAGCACAGAUUUGGUGGGCCUUGGGGCACCUGUAGGUGGCCAGGGGCAGAUACAGAGGGUCCUGGGGCAGAUUUAGGUGGUUAGGAGGAGAUUUGGUGGGUCCUGGGGCAGAUUUGAGAGGUUCUGGGCCAGAUUUGAGGGCCCUGAAGCAGAUUUGAGGAGCUCUGAGGCAGAUUUGAGAGGUCCUGAGGUAACUUUAGGGGAUUAAGCACAGAUUUGGUGGGCCUUGGGGCACUUGUAGGUGGCUGGGGUGGAUUUUCUUGGUUGGGGGUAGAUUUGGGGGGGUCCUGGGGCAGAUUUGCUUGGUUAGGGGUAGACUGGGGGGGGUCCUGGGGAGGAUUGGAGGAGCCGUGGGGCCGAUUGGUGACAUCCCAGGGCAGAUUUGGGUGCUAUGGGGCAGAUUUGGGUGCUAUGGGGCAGAUCUGGGAGGUCUUGGGGCAGUUUGAGGGGCAGAGCGGGGGGCUCUGGGAGCGAUGUCGGGGUCCUGGGGCUCGACUCCACCUUCCCCGGGGAAAUUGGGGCACAACCUGACCUCUUGGCCCCGAUUUCUUCGUGGUUUUGGGGCGGCCGCAGGAGGAACCGAGAACUGAACUUUCUGGCGUCUCUGGGGUCCCUGAUCCUUCAGGAUGAAGAUGAUGAUGAUGAUGAAGGUGGAGUUUUUCCUCCUCGUGGCAGGGGCCGUGGCAGCUCCCGGUCUCUCGCCGCCGCCGCCGCCGCUGGGGCUCCUCUUCCAGGAGGAGGGGGGUCCCCCAAAAAUCAGCUGCAUCGCCCCCCUCAGCUACGCCGGCAGCACCUUCGAGCUCUUCCCGGUGGGCUCCGACCUCCCCACGCAGAGGAUUUCGGCCCAACCGGGUCAACACCGGGGGGAAUUCACCCUGGAUGAAACCCCUCCGUCCUCCCGGUGUUACCGGUGCCGGUACCGGAGCUUUAACGGCAGCGCCUGGGAGGUGUCGGGGUUCAGCAUGGAGAUGGUGCUGGACGGUACGGCCACCGGUGGGGGUGGGGUGGGGG